CGGGGCGUAGCGCAGUUCGGUUAGCGCGCAGCAAUCGGGAUGCUGAGGUCCGGGGUUCAAAUCCCCGCGCCCCGACCA
rnacentral:tRNA from 2 species